GGUUCGGGAGAUAGCUGGUGUGGCAAACCUAGCCACCUAAGACUAUUUUUUUUCUUUCCUUAUUUUUGAGGUUUUCCCUAGAAAGACUGGUUUAUAUAUGAUCUUUGAUGUGUUUGCUUAAAAUGUGAAAGAGGGAAUUCGUAUGCUAGUGGUACGAAAGCUGCUAGCAUUCAUAUGGUAGUUUCACAAACAGUGAUUUUCAACACUGUUCAUGAAACAAACAAAGUACCAAAUGGGAGCCCACACACAGAAGGUCAUGUUGGUUCCCAUUAACCGAUUGCAAAAAUGUAUCUA